AACACAGUCACAAACUCCUGCAACCCAUCCAAGAUAUACCUACUACCAACACGAUGCUGAAUAACAAAAAAGGAGACAGAUAACAAUACAUCGCUUAAGAAACAAGUUGUAGAUAUCACUCAAGCUACUACUUCUUUGAAUUCUUGUCAUCUCUCCAUGUCGCCUGCCACUGCUUGUCGUAGAACGUCGUUUCCUCAAUAAGCUUCUUCAAGGUCUCAAUGUCUUCGUUCUUUCUUAUCAGUAGCACGCCAACGACCGAUAUGAAUAAUAGGGUUUUGCAGAAGAAAUUUCCAGUUUGAUCCACCAAACCCACACCAGUCAAGCUAUCGACAAAAUAAGCCAUGAAGAACCCAAUCAUCGCAGCACGGCCGUUUAGGAGUUCAGCUUCGGGGAGAUGAUACUUUUUGACCCAUGCCCACCAGGGGAUGAUCGAUGUGUCAAAGAGAACGGGGUUCUCGUUGUUCGAAGAUUCGGGAUUGUCUUCGAGCCAUAACCUUCUCCGUGCCUCAGCUUCAAUCACCGCAUCCCAAUCCGUCUUCCCAACAUCCCCAAACUGCUUCAAAUCCCAAGUCCCGCCGACCCAUCUCGGAUCCUUGAAUGCCGGCGGCCCCGCCGGCACCACGGCGGCCCCAUUGGACUCCAGAACCUCCUGCUUCUCCUCUACCGCAGAGGUAACCACCACCCCGUCAUUCGCAGACCUUGCAAGGAAAAGAUUGGAGGUUUUCCUUGAGAGGAGUGAGAUUUGGGGCUUGUGGGAGG
rnacentral:misc_RNA from 1 species